UUAAAUAGACACUGCUAGCUGGUUAGAUUUUUUGACAAAAUGCAGCAUCCUUAAAUCCUUAGUUGUAAACCAGCUAGCCUAUAUAUGCAGCCUUUUUGAAAUAUGCUGUUUAAAUGGUAAAUUAAUCACGUAAUUAUUAUCGUAUUCAUUGUGGACGUUGCGUAUUUAAAAGUGAGGAAAGCGUUUUGUAUGAAAUCCAUAGGCCUACAAGCGCAGUAAGUUAGUCCCUCACAGGGCUCGCACGUAAAUCGGCGGGAAAUAGUGAGUGAGUUGUGUGUGGAAAGUCUGCUGUAUUUUAGAAAUACUCGUCAGAAAAAGCAACUGAGCUGCUAAAGAGGAGACAGCUUUGAAGGUCCUGCCAACUCUGCUUCCCCCAUCCAUCUACAGGAGAGGAGGAAAGGUCUUCAGACCCACCACAGAGGAGGCCCAGAAGUCAUUUAUUGACAUGCAACCUGUUGGGACCAUGAGAUGACUGGAGCAUUGCU
rnacentral:lncRNA from 1 species